rnacentral:rRNA from 1 species
UACGAAGGGGGCUAGCGUUGUUCGGAUUUACUGGGCGUAAAGCGCGCGUAGGCGGGUUCUCAAGUCAGGGGUGAAAUCCCAGGGCUCAACCCUGGAACUGCCUUUGAUACUGGGAGCCUGGAGUUCGGGAGAGGUGAGUGGAAUUCCGAGUGUAGAGGUGAAAUUCGUAGAUAUUCGGAGGAACACCAGAAGCGAAGGCGGCUCACUGGCCCGAGUACUGACGCUGAGGCGCGAAAGCGUGGGGAGCAAACAGG